rnacentral:rRNA from 1 species
UACAGAGGGUGCAAGCGUUGUUCGGAAUUAUUGGGCGUAAAGCGCGUGUAGGCGGCUUUGUAUGUCGGGUGUGAAAGCCCUCGGCUUAACCGAGGAAGUGCGCCCGAAACUGCAGAGCUUGAGUGCCGGAGAGGAGAGCGGAACACCCGGUGUAGAGGUGAAAUGCGUAGAGAUCAGGAAGAACACCCGUGGCGAAGGCGGCCCACUGGGCCGGUGCUGACGCUGAGGCGCGAAGGCGUGGGGAGCGAACGGG